UCUUUCUUACUUGGACUCUCCACUCUUUCUUCGUAUUUGUUUCUCUUUCGUUUGUGUAUUCUUCGGCGAGUCUUCUCUUUCUCUGAUUUUGGAUUUCAAAACCGAUGAUUAUCUAGGGUUCCGUUCCUACGCAGUUUGUGAAUUAUUCUUCUAGGGUUUGGUUUGUUUUGAAAGCAAGUUUAUAAAUCUGAUCAUCGCUCCCCCCGGCCUCUGAAUUCCUACUUGUGAAUUCUUCUUCUUCUAGGGUUUGGUCUCUCUCUCAAUCCAAUUGCAUCGAAGCUUUGGUAUUCUUCUUCUUAUAGGGUUUGGUGUGUGUUUUUGGAAGCAAAUUUAUGAUUCCAAUCAUUAUCGCUCGCCCACGCUUCUGAAUUUUCACUCCUAAGUCCUACGGUUUUGGACAAUGCUUUGAUUAAUCAUUGAUGGCUUUGAAUGAUCAUCCUCACUCCUCAGGCGUUCUCAUGGGUUAAAAUAUGGCUUGGAGACAACGCAGCAUCUCUUUUAUCUGUGUCUGAAUUUUCACUAUGUUCUCUCUCGGUUCCUAGUUUUAAGAAUGCUAACUGUUACUAAGGGUCUCAGUCUGAUUUUGGAAACCAAUUAUUUGUUUUAAGCUUGCUUAUGGAGCGACGUGGUUCUGGAGAAAGCUUGCUUAUGGACCGACGUGGUUAUGAGGGAGAGUACAUUAAAUCAUUACAACUGUCGAUGCUGGUAAAGUAAAAUGUCUUGGUGGACCAGAACGUGAUGGAAGUGUUGCAAUUGUUGAUGCAGUUUCACCUCUUGGAGGAGACUUUUCAGAUCCUGUGACUUCUGCACCCGUAGUAUUAUGCAGGUGUGUUUUGGAAGCAAAUUUAUGAUUCCAAUCAUUGACGCUCGCCCACGCUUGUGAUUUUUAACUCCCAAGUCCUACGCUUGUGGAGCUAUGGUCGAUCGGUGGUUUUGGACGAUGCUUUGAAUGAUCAUCCUCACUCCUCAGGCGUUCUCAUGGGUUCCUUGCUCUUAACACAUCUCUUUUAUCUGUUUCUGAAUUUUCACUUUGGUUAUGUGGUUUUUUUUUCUUCUGAUUUGCAUGUUCAUAUCUCUUUUAUCUGUGUCUGAAUUUUCACUAUGUUCUCUCUCGGUUCCUAGUUUUAAGAAUGCUAACUGUUACUAAGGUUUGUUCAAUUUUGACACCCAAAACCUUUUGUACUUGAAUGAAUAUGUUUGUUUGUAACAUAGCUCUGCUUUGUUUUGUCUUUGCAUGUCUCAGUCUGAUUUUGGAAACGAAUGACUUGUUUUAAGCUUGCUUAUGGAGCGACGUGGUUCUGGGGAAAGGUACAUUUGAUCAUUACAACAUGAUGACAAAGUCUCAAGUCUGAUUUUGGAAACCAAUUAUUUGUUAAAGGUUUUUCAGAAGCGAAUUAUUCGUCUUCAGGGCCACAGAUUUUGGAUGAUGCUUUUAUCAACCAGUAAUGGGUUUGACUGAUUGUCCUCGGGCGUUCUCAUGGGUUUUGGAUGAUGCUUUUACCAAUCGUUGAUGGCUUUCACUGAUCGUCCUCAAGCGUUCUCAUGGGUUAAAAUAUGGCUUGGAUAAAACGCAGCAGAUCACUACUUUGCUUCAGUUUUCAAGGCAGGCAGCUUUGUCUGUGGUUUUGGUCUCUGAUCUAAGAGGUCCCUUGAGUAGUCCCUCGAACAGCUGUCCUCGAAUGGUUUCUAUCAUAGUAAAAUCUGAAUCUCCUCUGCCCUGAGAGAUUCAUCAACCUGUAGAGAACCUCCAGAAGUAAGUGAAUCUAUGCUAGAGUUUUUUAACCAUUUAAAGAUUACAAGGAGGGACAACACAAAUUCAUGUUUCAGACAUACCCUUAGAACUCUUAGAACAAGCCCCCAGGAAUUGAACCAUUUCCCCCACAGUAAGAGCAUGACCUUUGAAAGUUCUUUCAAAGUAUCCCCAGUGUCUAAACUUGAAGGCUAUUGUCAGGCGGUCCUAAGUAGACAGAGAGUAUUUCCCAUGAGAGAACAUGGAUAUAUGUACACAGAGGAAAACAAAUUGUCUACUAAUGCAUACAGCUAGCUUGCAGGUCCAAACAUAGCCAUUUUUACAGCUUCCAAAUGUGAUGAAUACCAAACACAAAAAAAAAAAGAAAUAAAAAAAAGAUGAAUCUAAGAGAAUACAUUGAGAAAGAGAUUGUAAUGAGAAAACCUCGAAUGUUUGUCUUAAUAUGGAAACUGAAAACAUUCAAGGAAAGGAUAUGUUGUGAGUUUAUAUGUUGAGUUAUAUAUGUUGUGAGUGUUUUAAGCUG